rnacentral:rRNA from 1 species
CCAUUUAGCUUGCUAGAUGGGAAAGUGGCGCACGGGUGCGUAACGCGUAUGCAACCUACCUUAAUCAGGGGGAUAGCCCGAAGAAAUUCGGAUUAACACCGCAUAAAAUCACAGUACAGCAUUGUACAAUGAUCAAAUAUUUAUAGGAUUAAGAUGGGCAUGCGUGUCAUUAGUUAGUUGGCGAGGUAACGGCUCACCAAGACCACGAUGACUAGGGGAUCUGAGAGGAUGACCCCCCACACUGGUACUGAGACACGGACCAGACUCCUACGGGAGGCAGCAGUAAGGAAUAUUGGUCAAUGGAGGCAACUCUGAACCAGCCAUGCCGCGUGCAGGAAGACAGCCCUCUGGGUCGUAAACUGCUUUUAUUCGGGAAUAAACCUACUUACGUGUAAGUAGCUGAAUGUACCGAAGGAAUAAGGAUCGGCUAACUCCGUGCCAGCAGCCGCGGUAAUACGGAGGAUCCAAGCGUUAUCCGGAUUUAUUGGGUUUAAAGGGUGCGUAGGCGGCUUAUUAAGUCAGGGGUGAAAGACGGUGGCUCAACCAUCGCAGUGCCCUUGAUACUGAUGAGCUUGAAUACACUAGAGGUAGGCGGAAUGUGACAAGUAGCGGUGAAAUGCAUAGAUAUGUCACAGAACACCGAUUGCGAAGGCAGCUUACUAUGGUGUCAUUGACGCUGAGGCACGAAAGCGUGGGGGAUCAAACAGGAUUAGAUACCCUGGUAGUCCACGCCCUAAACGAUGAAUACUCGCUGUUAGCGAUACACAGUUAGCGGCUAAGCGAAAGCGUUAAGUAUUCCACCUGGGGAGUACGCCCGCAAGGGUGAAACUCAAAGGAAUUGACGGGGGCCCGCACAAGCGGAGGAGCAUGUGGUUUAAUUCGAUGAUACGCGAGGAACCUUACCCGGGCUUGAAAGUUAGUGAAUGAGAUAGAGAUAUUUCAGUGAGCAAUCACACGAAACUAGGUGCUGCAUGGCUGUCGUCAGCUCGUGCCGUGAGGUGUUGGGUUAAGUCCCGCAACGAGCGCAACCCCUAUGUUUAGUUGCCAGCACGUUAAGGUGGGGACUCUAAACAGACUGCCUGUGCAAACAGAGAGGAAGGAGGGGACGACGUCAAGUCAUCAUGGCCCUUACGUCCGGGGCUACACACGUGCUACAAUGGAUGGUACAGAGGGCAGCAAGCUGGCAACAGCAAGCAAAUCUCAAAAAGCCAUUCACAGUUCGGAUAGAGGUCUGCAACUCGACCUCUUGAAGUUGGAUUCGCUAGUAAUCGCGUAUCAGCAAUGACGCGGUGAAUACGUUCCCGGGCCUUGUACACACCGCCCGUCAAGCCAUGGAAGUUGGGGGUACCUAAAGUAUGUAAC